ACAUUUCCCUGGUCAUCCAUUACCAUGACAACAGACAUUUCAGCCAUUGCACUCCGGCUGUGCUGACCCCUGCGAAUUUCCCAAAUGUGGAAAUCUCGAUUGCAUAAUUUCUGGUAGUGGGGGGCUGCGUUCGCGCUCUCCCCUG
rnacentral:snRNA from 1 species